GACGAACGCUGGCGGCGUGCUUAACACAUGCAAGUCGAACGGAAAGGCCCUGCUUUUGUAGGGGGCUCGAGUGGCGAACGGGUGAGUAACACGUGAGUAACCUGCCCUGGACUUUGGGAUAACUUCAGGAAACUGGGGCUAAUACCGGAUAGGAGCUCCUGCGGCAGGGUGGGGGUUGGAAAGUUUCGGCGGUUGGGGAUGGACUCGCGGCUUAUCAGCUUGUUGGUGGGGUAGUGGCUUACCAAGGCUUUGACGGGUAGCCGGCCUGAGAGGGUGACCGGCCACAUUGGGACUGAGAUACGGCCCAGACUCCUACGGGAGGCAGCAGUGGGGAAUAGUGCACAAUGGGCGGAAGCCUGAUGCAGCAACGCCGCGUGCGGGAUGACGGCCUUCGGGUUGUAAACCGCUUUCGCCUGUGACGAAGCGUGAGUGACGGUAAUGGGUAAAGAAGCACCGGCUAACUACGUG
rnacentral:rRNA from 1 species